rnacentral:lncRNA from 1 species
AUUCUGAAAAUUAUAAUUUCGUUAUUUUUACCAAUUUUAUUAUUUUUGUUACUUUUGCCAAAAAAUAAAUUUCAGGAGAAAAGACAAAAUAAGGGGCAAAAAACUUGCGAGAAAACACCCUCGGGAAAAACUCGCUGGCCUGGGCAUCACACGACGUGCGUGCGUACGUGCACGCGGCCAGCACAGGACUUGCUCACUAUUCGCAUGUCAUGGUCGCGCGGGGCACGAAGCCAGUCUGUGUGCGUAUCCCAUCACAUACAGACAAGCCAAUUCGCACACGUCACAUCCCCUGCAGAGAGGGCUGGCGUCGUGUGCCCUAUGCGGAUGUCGUUUGCAUAAUAAGCCUGCGUGGUAGACUUGGGCGCAUGGGCUUGCACGCGACAGGAUAGGCUGGCGUGCCUGUAGGCAAGGCCUGUAGCGCACGAUCGACUUAGGGAGGCACACUGCUCCCUCAGGUAGUGUUCCACCACCCCUUGGGCAAUAAGCCACUGCCAGUUGGGAGGUUCUUCCUCCAUUUUUCAUGUUGCAAUCGUGUUGCGCUACAUCACUCUUUUUCCACUCAACUUUCUUUCUCCCACUAGAUUUUGCCACUUGUCGCAAAUCUAACGGUUCCCAUUUUCUAUAAAUAAGGACCCCUUUGUUCCAUUUUUCCUCAUUACUUCCAUUUUAUUCUUUCAUCCUCCAAGAGCUUAGAGAGAGAGAGAGUGAUCUAAGGGGAAAAAAAAGGAGAAGAAGAAGAAAGGUGUAGGAAAACUUCAAGGUUUUAGUAAGGAACUUAGUAUUUCUUGGACAU